UAUUAUUAAUCUUUUAAUCUUUCUCAAAUAUUUCAAAAAUAUUCAAAUUUCGAAGUUAGAAGUAAUCAAAUGAUAUCACCGAGUUACUAAUGGAAAAAAAAAAUAUUCUUUUUUUUUUUCAAAAUUAUGUAUCCUUUAACAGAUUAAUUACGAGUCUCAUUCGAAUUUGAUUGAAAAUGAAAAUUGGGCAUACUCUCUCUUCGAGCUUGACCAAUUACCAAUUAAUAGAAAAAAAUUCAAGUUUGUUUUUUAUUAGGUAAAUAAAAUGGUUUUUUUACUUUUUUUUUGUUUUGAUGUAUUUUUCAUGUAUAAAUG
rnacentral:lncRNA from 1 species